rnacentral:rRNA from 1 species
AUUCCAGCUCCAAUAGCGUAUAUUAAAGUUGUUGCAGUUAAAAAGCUCGUAGUUGGAUUUGUGGUUGGAGCGGUCGGUCCGACACUCUGUGUGGGUACUUGACUGUCUCCGUCCAUCCUUGGGUGGAACCUGUGUGGCAUUAGGUUGUCGUGCAGGGGAUGCCCAUCUUUUACUGUGAAUAAAUUAGAGUGUUCAAAGCAGGCUUACGCCGUUGAAUAUGCUAGCAUGGAAUAAUAAGAUAGGACCUUGGUACUAUUUUGUUGGUUUGCGCACCGAGGUAAUGAUUAAUAGGGACAGUUGGGGGUAUUCGUAUUGCACUGUCAGAGGUGAAAUUCUUGGAUUUUUGCAAGACGAACGACUGCGAAAGCAUUUACCAAGGAUGUUUUCAUUA